rnacentral:rRNA from 1 species
CGUGUAGGCUGCUGAUUGUGUCGAGUGUGAAAGCCCUCGGCUUAACCGAGGAAGUGCACUCGAAACUGGUCAGCUUGAGUACCGGAGAGGAAGGUGGAAUUCCCGGUGUAGAGGUGAAAUUCGUAGAUAUCGGGAGGAACACCAGUGGCGAAAGCGACCUUCUGGACGGAUACUGACGCUGAGACGCGAAAGCGUGGGGAGCAAACA